AUACUUACCUGGCUGGGGAGAUACCAUGAUCAUGAAGGUGAUUUCCCCAGGGCAUUGCAUUGCACUCCAGAUGUGCUGACCCCUACGUUUUCCCCAAAUGCGGGAAACUCGACUACAUAAUUUGUGGUAGUGGGGGACAGCAUUCGCGCUCUCCCAAA
rnacentral:snRNA from 1 species